GGCCCGGAAACCAGGAAGGGGAAUAACACUCGAAAUGUAAAUAAAUACUCAAGUUAAUAAAGAUAAAAAAUUUUUAAAAAAUUAAAAAAAUAAAGAUAAAAAAGUAUUAAGGUCAUAUUAUUUUAUAUUUACUUAAAAAUACAUAUAAUACCCCUUCUGCCCAUCAUUUAAAAAAAAAAAGAAAUUCAGGACAAUACAGGUAAACAAGUAGAAGCCCUUAAAGAGGAAACACAAAAAUUUCUUAAAGAAUUACAGGAAAACACAACCAAUUAGGUGAAGGAAUUGAACAAAACCAUCCAGGAUCUAAAAAUGGAAGUAGAAACAAUAAAGAAAUCACAAAGGGAGACAAACCUGGAGAUAGGAAACCUAGGAAAGAGAUCAGGAGUCACAGAUGCAAGCAUCACCAACAGAAUACAAGAGACAGAAGAGAGAAUCUCAGGGGCAGAAGAUGCCAUAGAAAAUGAUGACACAACAGUCAAAGAAAAUGCAAAACACAAAAAUCUCCUAACCCCAAACAUCCAGGAAAUCCAGGACACAACGAGAAGAUCAAACCUAAGGAUAAUAUGUAUAAAAGAGAACAAAGACUCCCAACUUAAAAGGCCAGUAAAUAUAGUCAACAAAAUUAUAGAAGAAAACUUCCCUAAUCUAAAGAGAUGCCCAUAAACAUAAAGGAAGCCUACAGAACUCCAAACAGAUUGGACCAGAAAAGAAACUCCUCCUGUCACAUAAUAGUCAAAACAUCAAAUGCACAAAACAAAGAGAGAUAUUAAAAGCAGUAAGGGGAAAGGGUCAAGUAGCAUAUAAAGGCAGACCUAUCAGAAUCACACCAGACUUCUCGCCAGAGACUAUGAAAGCCAGAAGAUCCUGGACAGAUGUCAUACAGACCCUAAGAGAACACAAAUGCCAGCCCAGGCUACUAUAUCCAGCAAAACUCUCAAUUAACAUACAUGUGGAAACCAAGAUAUGCCAUGACAAAACCAAAUUUACACAAUAUCUUUCCACAAAUCCAACCCUACAAAGGAUAAUAGAUGGAAAACUCCAACACAAGGAGGAAAAAUAUACCCUAGAAAAAGCAAGAAAGUAAUCUUAUUGCAAUAAACCCAAAAGAAAAGAGCUAUACAAACAAUUCUACCUCUAACAACAAAAAUAACAGGAAACAACAAUCACUAUGCCUUAACAUUAAUGGACUCAAUUCCCCAAUAAGAAGACAUAGACUAACAGACCGAAUAUGUAAACAGGACCCAGCAUUUUGCUGCAUACAGGAAAUACACCUCAGUGACAAAGACAGACACUACUGAAAAGAAAAUUAUACGAAUUCUAGGUUUAUAAAUAUAAAAAUUAAAAGAAUAAACCCCAAAAGGCCACAGACCCAGGGCUAAGCCCUGCAGCCAGGACUAGCAGGCCAUAAAGAUAAAGGAGCACAGGAAACACUGUUCAGGCAGGACUGACAAGCCAUAAAGAAAAGGAAUGCAGGAACCAGCCUGAGUUAAUGGGACUGAUUCAUGGGACGUCUGGCAGGAAGACAUCUCCCCCCAGCUCACUGAGGGCCAUCCUCCGGCCCCUGAUAAGCCCCUGACUUCUAGCACGUACUCUUUCUGCUUUGUUCUCACUGCUAUGUUUGAAUGAGCCAAUUGUAUGUAACCACGCCAAAACCCCCUAGCCUUCUCUAUAUAACCCUCUGACUUUUGAGUUUCGGGGUCGACACCUCUGUCUCCUGCGCGGGAUACGUGUCGGCCCGGAGAUCUCUGUAAUAGGUCUCCGUAAUAAACCUCACCUUUGCUUAUUACAUCCAAAAUGGUCUCUCUGUGUCUGGGGUCCGCGAUUUCCCAAGACUUGAGUAAGGGUCUCUCUGCGUGGGAUCUUUCAUAUUUAUGGGGGCUCGUCCGGGAUCUUCGCGACCACCCCAGACUCCGAAGACCCCUUGGAGGCUAAAAGACCUACAGGUGAUACAGAAAGAAAUCUGCUCACAGCUGACAGCAGCCUAUGCCCCGGAGACCCCUGAGACAUCCCAUCAGUUCCAGGUCGGAAACAGCUACACUGAGCCCAGACACUCGAGCCUCGCUGGAAAGGACCGUACCUGGUGCUGCUGACCACCCUGACAGCCGUCAAUUCUCAGCCCUCACCAGCCGUGUACUAGCUGUUAGGGCUGAGAGCUGGGACCUAGAGGGAAAUUCAGUCAUGUUUGUCCUGGGUUCCAUCGAGAUAGGUGUGGGGAUAGGCUUGAUUUCUAUUACAAAUGAUGUAACAUUACAUAUGUUAAUACUCCUAACACUUCUUGGGACUGUGCCUCAGGGAUCACUACCUAUAUAAGUUUAGAAGUUCUGAAAGACAGUCAUGACCUUGGUGUAUAGGUUUAGAUAGUGUCCAGAUAGAAUCCUGAUGCCAAAGACUUUUUAGCUGACCUCCAAGAAUACCUAACCUCCCUCUCAGAGGUAGUCCUUCAAAAUAAGAAAAGAUUAGACCUGAUAUUCCUUAAAGAAGGAGCCUGUGUGCUACACUGAAAAAAUGUUGCUUAUUCAAGAGUAAUUAAGGACUCCAUAAAUAAACUUAAAAAAGGUUAGACAAAAGACAGACAGGAAAACACAUCAGAGAUGGUUCGAGAGCUAGUUUAGUAGAUCUCCCUAGAUGACUACCCUACUCUCUGCUACAGCUGGGCCAUUAUUAAUAAUUUUCUUGGUUUUAGUCUUUGGCUCCUGCGUGACAAACAGGUUAAUUGCUUUUGUUAAAAAUUGAGUGGGUGCUGUGCGGUUGAUGGUUGUGAGACAACAGUACCAGUCAGUUAGGACAACUGGUGUGACCAAAUAAGACUUGAUAUCAAAAUUCUAAGAUUAGAAUUAUUUAAUAGGAGAAGACGGGAAUGAAAAGAAAAUUAUACGAAUUCUAGGUUUAUAAAUAUAAAAAUUAAAAGAAUAAACCCCAAAAGGCCACAGACCCAGGGCUAAGCCCUGCAGCCAGGACUAGCAGGCCAUAAAGAUAAAGGAGCACAGGAAACACUGUUCAGGCAGGACUGACAAGCCAUAAAGAAAAGGAAUGCAGGAACCAGCCUGAGUUAAUGGGACUGAUUCAUGGGACGUCUGGCAGGAAGACAUCUCCCCCCAGCUCACUGAGGGCCAUCCUCCGGCCCCUGAUAAGCCCCUGACUUCUAGCACGUACUCUUUCUGCUUUGUUCUCACUGCUAUGUUUGAAUGAGCCAAUUGUAUGUAACCACGCCAAAACCCCCUAGCCUUCUCUAUAUAACCCUCUGACUUUUGAGUUUCGGGGUCGACACCUCUGUCUCCUGCGCGGGAUACGUGUCGGCCCGGAGAUCUCUGUAAUAGGUCUCCGUAAUAAACCUCACCUUUGCUUAUUACAUCCAAAAUGGUCUCUCUGUGUCUGGGGUCCGCGAUUUCCCAAGACUUGAGUAAGGGUCUCUCUGCGUGGGAUCUUUCAACUACCUCAGAGCAAACGCCUUGAAAACCAUUUUCCAAGUAAUUGGUCCCAAGAAACAAACUGGAGUAGCCAUUCUAAUAUUGAAUAAAAUCAACUUUCAACUGUAAGCUAUCAAAAAAGAUAAGGAAGAACACUUCAUACUCAUAAAGGAAAAAUCUACCAAGAUGAACCCUCAAUCCUAAAUAUCUAUGCUCCAAAUGUAAAAGCACACAUAUUCACAAAAGAAACUUUACUAAAGCUCAAAGCACACAUUGCACCUCACACAAUAAUAGUGGGAGAUUUCAACACCCCACUUUUAUCAAUGAACAGAUCAUAUAAACAGAAACUAAACAGAGACACAGUGAAAGUAACAGAAGUUAUGAACCAAAUGGAUUUAACAGUUAUCUACAGAACGUUUCAUCCUAAAACAAAAGAAUAUACCUUCUUCUCAGCACCUCAUGGCACCCUCUCCAAAAUUGACCAUAUAAUCAGUCACAAAACAGACCUCAACAGAUACAAGAAGAUUGAAGUAACUCCAUACAUCCUAUCAGCUCACCACAGACUAGGGCUGGUUUUUAAUAGCAACAAAAAUGAUAGAAAGCCCAAUACACAUGGAAGCUGAAAAACACUCUAGUCAAUGAUAACUUGGUCAAGAAAGAAGUAAAAAAAAAAUUAAAGACUUUUUAGAAUUUAAUGAAACUGAAGGCACAAGAUACCCCAACUUCUGGAACACAAUGAAAGAAGUGCUAAGAGGGGAAACUCAUAGCUCUGAGCACCUCCAAAAAGAAACUGGAGAGAGCAUGCACUAGUAGCUUGACAGCACACCUAAAACCUGUAGAACAAAAAGAAGCAAAUACACACAAGAGUUAGAAAAUUUGAAAAUUCAUUUGGAAUAGCAAAAAACCCAGGAUAGUGAAAACUAUCCUCAACAAUAAAAGAACUUCUCAGGGAAUCACCAUCCCUGAACUCAAGCAGUUGUGACAAAAUCGUGAUAAGAACUGUAUGGUAUUGGUACAGAGAAAGGCAAGCAGAUCAAUGGAAUAGACUUGAAGACCCAGAAAUGAACCCACACACCUAUGGCCACUUGAUCUUUGACAAAGUAGCUAAAACCAUCCAGUGGAAAAAUGAUAGCAUUUUCAAAAAUGGUGCUGGUUCAACUGGAGGUCAGCAUGUAGAACAAUGCAAAUCGAUCCAUUCUUAACGCCCUGAACAAAGCUUAAGUUCAAAUGGAUCAAGGACCUCCACAUCAAACCAGAUACACUCAAACUUAUAGAAGAAAAAGUGAGGAAAAGCCUCAAACACAUGGGCACUGGGUAAAAUUUCCUGAACAGAGCGCCAAUGCUCUAAGAUCAAGACUUGACAAAUGGGACCUCAUAAAAUUGCAAAGUUUCUCUAAGUCAAAGGACACUGUCAUUAGGACAAAACAGUAACCAACAGAUUGGGAAAAGAUCUUUACCAAUCCUACAUCUGAUAGAGGGCUAAUAUCCAAUAUAUACAAAGAACCCAAGAAGUUAGACUCCAGAGAACCAAGUACUACUCAGCUAUCAAAAACAAUGACUUCGUGAAAGUCAUAGGCAAAUGGAUGGAACUAGAAAAUAUCAUCCUGAGUGAGAUAACCCAGUCACAAAAUAACACACAUGGUAUGCACUCACUGACAAAUGGAUAUUAACCCAAAAGCUCAGAAUACCCAAGAUACAAUUCACAGACCACAAAAACCUCUAGAAAAAGGACAACCAAAGCUUGGAUGCUUCGAUCCUUCUUAAAAGGGGAACAAAUAUUCAUAGGA